GUUGCCGACCAGAGGGCCGUGGAACCACCCGUUCCCGUUCCGAAAGGUUGCUAAAUCCCGGGAACACGGAAGUGAAAAGCGGUUCCGUUCUGGGCGGUAGUGUCGUCUUAGGGAGACGCGAAACCCAGGAAGUUGGCAGCC
rnacentral:rRNA from 1 species